rnacentral:sRNA from 1 species
GAGGAAAGCCCAGCGACGCCGGGCCAGCGCAUUCUUAUUUUAUGAAGAUCUGGCAACAGUUAGCGUGCAGUUCUACAUUGUGACAAUUCAUGAGAGCUAAGGACUGGCUGUCUCUUGGGACAAAUAGGCUUUCUUGAGUCUGCAUGAGGCCCUCACCAGAUACAGCCACCUGAUCUUGGACUUCACAGCCUCCAGAAAUUUCCUAGGAAAGAAGUUGUUUCAACUCUCAUUGGAGGAAGUAUAAGGUGAUCUCAGGGAAGGGGAGAAGGGCUGGUUGCCUGCCAAAUCUAUGAUCAAGUCGGCUCCACAGUCACUUUGCUUCCACUUCUAAGUGAGAACAUACAGUGUUUGGUUUUUCAUUCCUGAGUUACUUCACCUAGAACAAUGGCCUCCAGCUCCAUCCAAGUUGCUGCAGAAGACAUUUCAUUCCUUUUAUGGCUGAGUAGUAUUCCAUGUCCAGUGAUUCAAGUUUGACACACCACACCACGGUGGAUGUGCCUUGUCAUGACACAUCUUCUCAGCAGCACUAGAAGAUACAUCCAAAGUCCUGUGAGCAAGGACACAGCGAGAAGAUGGCUGUCUACAAGCCAGGAAGAGAGUCCUCACCAGAACCAAACCCUGCUGGACUUUGAUCUUGGACUUCCCAGCCUCUAAAACUGUGAAGACAUAAAUUUCUGUUGUUAAACCCACACAGGUCUGUGGUAUCUGUUUAUUAUGGCAGCCCAGUAAGACUAAGACAGGCCAUCACAAGACAUGAAUGUUUUGGACCUUCUCUUGGGCCCUAGUAAACAGAAAUCAGGUACGCAAAAGGGGUAAGCAUAUAAUUUCCUUUAUUUUUAUUUUUAAUGUGUAAGCCUUAGGUUUUUAUUUAUUUAUUUGGUGAAGACAAUCACAUUGUGUACGUACAAUGUAAUUAUAUUGUUGACGAGAAGUUACUUAAAAUUUUUUAAAAAUUCUAAUCGAUUUCUAGAUGUCCAAAUGAGAAGAUAGCAUUUAUAUACCAUCAGAACAUAAAAUAAUUCAAAAAAAUAAAUUUAUAAAACAAUAUGUAUUAUAUUGAGAGAAAGAGAGGGAGAGAGUAUUGGAAGAAUAUAUGCAAAUACAAUGUGAUAAUGUGAUGUCUUUGUGAGAAUGCUAUAUGUCAUUUUCUUUGUUUAUAUGAAUUUUUACAAUUUUUACCUUUGAAAUAUAAAAAAGAGAGAAUAAAAGUCAUUGAAAAAAUCAAAA